rnacentral:rRNA from 1 species
AGCGAACGCUGGCGGCAGGCUUAACACAUGCAAGUCGAACGCAUCCUUCGGGGUGAGUGGCAGACGGGUGAGUAACGCGUGGGAACAUGCCCUUUGGUUCGGAAUAACUCAGGGAAACUUGAGCUAAUACCGGAUAAGCCCUUUUGGGGAAAGAUUUAUCGCCGAAGGAUUGGCCCGCGUCCGAUUAGCUAGUUGGUGAGGUAAUGGCUCACCAAGGCGACGAUCGGUAGCUGGUCUGAGAGGAUGAUCAGCCACACUGGGACUGAGACACGGCCCAGACUCCUACGGGAGGAAGCAGUGGGGAAUAUUGGACAAUGGGGGCAACCCUGAUCCAGCCAUGCCGCGUGAGUGAUGAAGGCCCUAGGGUUGUAAAGCUCUUUCGGCGGGGACGAUAAUGACGGUACCCGCAGAAGAAGCCCCGGCUAACUUCGUGCCAGCAGCCGCGGUAA